AGGCCGCACCUGUACUCCACACAGCAUUUCCAGAUUCACCAAACCACACUCUGUGCUUGUCCCCUCGGAUUACUUCCUGUCAUGCACUAGUUCCUCAGCAGUAGCAUCUCCUGCGUUCUCAGCCUGGUGACCUGACCCAGCAGCUGGCCCACUGGGCACCUGUGCCCACCUGGAGACGGGGUCUCAUCCUGCCUGUGUGGCCCUUCCUGUCCCUGAAAGCCAUCUCUAGAGAUGGCCAGUGACCAAGGGCAUCAGGCAGCCCAUGUUCUUCGCACGUCUCCGUGACUGAUUCUGGCCAAGAGGAGGCUGGCUUUCCGGAUCCCACCAACAUCACAUAUGGGACCUUUCCAAUCUACCCCCUACCUCCCCUCAGGUCAUGACUUGGCUCUGGAACUUAAGACGCGAAGAAACAGCCUAGUUCAAAUUCAAGAAUUUCCACUUAAAACCACAGCAUUGGAGAGGCCCCUUUAAAAACCACCUAACCCAGCUCUUUCAUCGGACAGAGGAAGAAACUUACCUAAAGAUGUUAGGUGGUUUGCCCAUAUUGCAAAGCCUGAUGUAUGGGAAAAUACUUCCAUGGGAAAUUAAAAAAAACGAUCAAUAAAAUUUUUUUAAAAUGAGGCUCUAAUUCCUGAAAAAUGACUUGCUUAAACUUGAGACUGGGCAGAAAAUAAUAUUGUAGAAUGCAGAACAGCAUAUCUUUGGAAGGAUCUACCUUUUUAAGUAUAUAAUGGUCCUCCACAACUAUCCUGCAAAAGGGAGCAGGACAAAUCAUGUAUUUUAAUCUUUGGGGGAGUCUUUGUGUAAGUCAGACCUUAAUCAUUUUGAUUCUAGCAACACUCGCGGCCAUUGGAUCCUAAUUAUUGCAUCUCAUAAGGCUGAUGGCUAAUCAGCUUGCCUUUUUAAGAAAAAGAACAAGCUUGCUUUUAUUGUUAUAUAACACAAAUGACAUUCCAUUAUAAGUUUCUGCUGCAAAAGAAAGUUGGGAAAUUUGUUUAGAUACUUUAGUCUUAAGACAUUAGCUGAAAUGCUGGUAACAAACGUGCAAUGAACAUUUUCUUGGGGCAUUCAGCCACAAAGUGAAUCGCCCUUAAAAAAAAAAAAGUCCAUA